UGAAAUUAUUUAGUCAAAGAAUAUAAACAUUUUUAAGGUGUUUGAUCUUUAUUUCUGAAUUGCUUUACAGAAGGUAGUUCAAACUAUACAGUCUUAUGAACAAUGUUAUUUCAGCAUUCUAAACUUCACUUUAUAGAAAAAAGCUGGCAUAGGUGGCCUGCAAGGUGGCCCCAAUGAUCUGAAGCGAUGGCAUGUGACUUUUGAGGCAAGGGCUGACACAAUUGCAGCUUCUACCUUGUUCUUUCGGACACAUUCUGUGGGAAGCCAGGUGCCAGGUUUGGCAGAUACUCAAACAGCCUGUGGAGAUGCCCAUAUAUGGAAGAAACAAGACUGACAAUGAGAACCAACCUGUUGUGUCACACCUUUUCCUGAACUUUGGCUCAAUUGAAGAAGGAAACUUUCAGGGGAAUUCCAAUAGUAAACAACAGAACCAGCAGUUUUACAAUAAACUGCAGAGCUCCAUUUCAAAACACAAAAAUAGAGCGUCUCUGCAGUGAUGUACUGCCUUAAGGAAGGUAGAUUCCACCUUUGAAGGAGUCUUACAAAACCAUUGCCUUUAUCUACAUUUAGCAGGUAAAUGCAAUGAUUAAAUAUGAAGAAGAGCAUUGACAAGAUGAAAUGGGCUCAUUCUCAGCAAUGUUAUUUCAAAAAGAAAACCUGAGUGAUUCACGUAUUCAUAUGUCCAUCUGAAAAUGUCCUUCUCUCAACAAACUACUCAGUGAAAACUCAUCUUCAUAUAGUUAAUGCUGGAGUGCUAAUAAACUGUUGCAAAUUUCAAAAAUAGUGUCAUAACUUCCUAUACAGAGUCUAAAGAAAGUGGAGGUGUGAUGUAGUCUAGGGUUAUCAAUAGGGCAGCAUGACUUGAUGGGGCUUAAGACUUCUACACACAGCCAGCAAGCAUUUAAUGAGCAUCCCUGAGGGGCUUAAUGUUCCAUACUAUUACUCAAGGACUUUUUCUUAUUUGCCAAGAUUACUUGGUAAAUCUACAAAGCCAAGUGGCCUAUGGCCAGAGUUCAAAUAGUUUCUUGUCAAUUCUUCCCUCCCUUUCACAGUUGCAAGGCAUGGAAAAGAGGAAAUGGGAUGAGAUGGGAUGGCUUUCGUCCUGGCCUGCUUCAAGCACUGUUUCACCAUAAAAAAGGAACUCUCCACUGCUCCUCUUAAACAGAUAAAAUAUUUUGUGCUUAGAAUUCAAUGACUCAUCCCACUUGGACAUAACUACAUUCUUUCUAGGGCGGAAAUCUCGCAUUCAAGUGCAGCUGGCCAAGUUGAAGAAAGAACUUCAAGGCAGUUCUGGGAAAGAACUUUAAGCCUUAGCCCUGAUUAUGAGAAAGAAGUUUUGCUCUUUGCAAAGGAUUAGGAGCAUAACUGUGCUAGUGAAUAACAAUCUCGGACUUAGCCAAAGAAUGCUUGGGUGGGAUUUUGAUUAUCAUUAUGGUAUUUUUUAAAAUGUAAGCAUCUAAGUCUUCAAAUUCUUUGAUAAAUUUAAUUUUAAUACUUAAUUUUGGGCAAUCAAAGCACAAAGAAGUAGAAACUGGAGUGAAAAUGGGUGGGUUACCAGAUACUUACAAUAAUAAAAGUGUCAUUUUGCCAACUUAUUUUGUAGCUAAAAUUACAAUUUUCAAUGCUAUAUGUAGUUGAAGAUAGCCAUCAUCUGCGAGUGCUUAUUAUAUGCCAGGAACUAAGCUAAGCUCUUAACCUGCAAAAUUUCAUUCAAUCCUUGCAUAGACACUAUGUGAUAGAUGGACUACAAUUGCCACAUUGAAUCAACAUUUGCCUGAGAGACCAAUGGGCAUUUAUUGAACACUAUUUAGGGAUUAAUGUGAAGCGGUGGCAAAGAAGGAAAGGUAUAGCAUUUAGAGGAACACAGUAUUUCAUAGAAUCUUAGUGAGGGAAGGGAUGUUGAAGGACUAAGGCUGAUGCCAACUCCGUUGGGCAAGUAAUCAUCGCUUCUAGCUUUUAUAAAUUAUUAAAAUAUAUUUUGAUUUCAGUUUUUCUGAUCUGUUUAUAUUGUCUCUUAAGUCCUUUAGAAUCACUUCACACUAUGCUCUCAUCCAGGUGAAAAGGAACUCAGAAAGAAUGUAAUUAGCCUCAUUUUCUAGCCUAAAACCUUGUGCAGUGGACCUAGAGGCUCCCAAACACGUGCUAAGGUGUAAGGGCCCAUGGGCUGCAUAUCAGUAGGUAACCAAGGCAUUCUUUUGUGUAUGUGUUGCCCAAAUCCCUUAAGAGCACCUAUACAUCUUGACAAUUUUCAGUACAAAUCCUUUUCAAGUGAAAAAUAAACAAGUAUUUAAUACUUAAAAAUCUUUCUUUCUGUUUCAGACAGAAUUCCAGCUGUCUGCUUCUUCCGUCCCUCCAACAAAAACAAAACAAGGGACUUGCAUCCAUUUACAGUCUACAUAGUUUAAUCUUCGUGCUAUCUUAUAGGAGGAGUUCCUCUUGCUGUAUUUCUGAUAUUGGCAACCUCUUCCAUUGUCUGCAUACUCUCUGGUAUCCCUUAAUGCUAUGCCAUAGUCAUUGCAACUCUGUUAGUUCAAACCUAUAUUAGUUAUUUUUUAAAUUGCUGUUGCUUACUAAUUUUAGGUUCAUUUUCAGUCCUACCCUUUCCCUACCAAUCUACCAUUGCUGCCGCCAUUACCUUUACAAAACACACCACAAGUCUUAUCUGCAUUAAACCUGCUUAAAACUGGUGAUAAGCCCUCACUGUUCCUUAAGGCCUGCAGGAUAAAAUACCAACUCCUCAGUGCUGGGGUUUGGAGCAGAGCUUAAUUACUCACUUUUCUUCUUUUGCACAUUGUGGAUCAAUUCUGAAUUGGACACAUAAGUCAGAUGGGAAUGAAAAUGCAGUGCCUGAUUCACUGCUGAGAAUGCAGCACUGGGGCUGGGGCCAGAGGCAGGCUAAAAUGAGGCCAUGGCAAUCUUCCCCGUGAAUUUACCUAAGUUCAGGAAGAGCUGCUGGGGAGCAGUAUCCCAUUUUCUUUUGGUGCAGGCUUUGGGGUCUGGAGAUUACUUUAGAAGUUGAACAAUCUAUGACAAGCCUGUUUGCAGGGUUUGAGGAGUCUCUAGAAAUAACCUUUAGAAUCUCAGAGGGAGGCCAGACUAUUCGAUAUUUAGAAAUUCAACAGGCUAGUCAAUUAGAACAGGGAUCUACUAUGGCAUGUUCCUUAAAUCCAACCUGGUUUUGGAGUUUCUGUCUCUGAAUAAUGUCUUUACCUUCUUGCCCCUUGGUCCCUGCACUUAGAACCAUGGGCUGGCGUAAUGAGGGGGGCUGUCUCUUUAAAAUGAGCUUGUCUUUUAAGGCGGGGAGUACAUAGCCAGAAGUUUUUGGUAAGGGCCUAGGAAAUUAGGUUUCCCCCAGUGUUCCUGCUUUUCCUGCAAUUCAGUAUUAUCUCCUUUCAAAACAGAAAACUCAUACUUUGUGUCUUCUCAAGGAUUGCUGGAGGAAGAAAUGAUCUCUUUGGUGAGGCUACAUAGGCCCUUCCCUCUGUUGUAGAGGGACAGCUUGGUCUGAAGCUUCUAGGAUAAUAAAGGCUGCAAAAUAUGGUCGGCCCAUUUUAACUUUGUCACAACAUAUCUGGAGAGACACAGAAGUGAAUUUGUUGAGUCCCAGGAACAGCAAGGAAAAACCUUCCCUGCUGCUUUGCUACCACUUAAGAGGCACCACUAACAUCCCAGGUAAAGAGGGGCAGUGUUGACCGCCCAGGGUCCCACCUGUUGUCUGUCUUUCCUUUCAUUUUAAUGCCUGUCAAUUCCAACACCCCACUUCCAGGUACCCAUCUCUGCAUUUGGCAGGAUUGUUUUGGGUGCAAAUGAGAGAAACCCAGCUCAAGCUAGAUUAUGGCUGGAAAUACGGAAGUCUAAGGGGUAUCUCUGGCAUCAGGCUUGGCUGCAUCUAGGGGUUUAAACUGCAUUAUGAAGCCUUUCUCUCUCCAUAUCUUGGCUCUUCCCUCUGGUGGUCUUUAGCUUCAGAAAGUCUCUAUUUUUAUAACUCUUUCUGGUACUAGAGAAAGAAAGACCCUUCUUUUCCCAGAAACUUUAUAUCAAAUAUGAUGAAGAAGGUCUGAUUGGUGCUCAGUUUGGGGCUAAUCUCCCUGAUCAAUUGCAGUGGCCAGAGGGAUGAGCUCUUCUGAACAGCCAGGUCUGGGUCAUAUGUCUUGUGCCUAUCUACCUCUGGGAACCAGAGGCAAAGGUAGAAGGAGGUUGGGCUUUUCUGAAGGAAGACAGUGGAACAGACAAGAAACAUAUGUUCACUAUACAGACUCUAUCACACUGUACUGUAAUUAUGUGUUUAUGUGCCUGAUUUAGUUUCCACAUCAGACUCAGAGCUGCUACAUGGUGAAGAUCACAAUUUGUCAGUCUCAGAAAGUCAGAUGGACACGGCUAAGUCUGGAUUUCGCUCCCUUCAUAAAGGAAAAAAAGAGAAUUUCCCAAGCACUGCAGCCAUGUGGCCAUGUGGCAUCUCCCCUAACCACCAGAGCCAGCCGGGUCAACACCCUUUUCGUCACACUGAGAAAGGAUGCUGGCAC
rnacentral:lncRNA from 1 species